UACGUAGGGGGCAAGCGUUGUCCGGAUUCAUUGGGCGUAAAGAGCGUGUAGGCGGCCAUGCAGGUCCGUUGUGAAAACUCGAGGCUCAACCUCGAGACGCCGAUGGAAACCGCAUGGCUAGAGUCCGGGAGAGGAGAGCGGAAUUCCUGGUGUAGCGGUGAAAUGCGCAGAUAUCAGGAGGAACACCGAUGGCGAAGGCAGGUCUCUGGGCCACUACUGACGCUCAGGCACGAAAGCGUGGGGAGCAAACAGG
rnacentral:rRNA from 1 species